rnacentral:lncRNA from 1 species
UUUAAUUGAGUCAAUAGUCUCUUUGUGCUUCUGGCUGCCACUAUCUGAGGAAAGCUGGUCCAACCCAAGCCGUUGUAUCUCUUCCAUUGCAGAUGGGUAAGGACAGCUGCUCACACGGUCAGACCUUCCACCAGGUUGUGAGGAGAAGUUAACCAAACUGCAUGUGACCUGGUCAUUACAAGCUUCUUCAUCAUCUGAAUCAUCAUCACCACCUUCAUUCUCCGGGUUUUCUGCAGAAUCAAACCUAAUCUGCUUGCCACAAAACUGAUUACAUACAGAGGAAAAAGAUCCAACACGACAAGAAAUGGUACUGAAACCUUUGUCUUUCUGCAUUUUCAACGAGGGAAGUUGACCUUUGGACUGCGAUGGAGAGACUCUGUCAGAACUUCCAGCAGAUUGUGACGAUACGUUAACCUGGCUGAGUGGACCCUUGGAUUGUGAUGGAGAGACAACCAAACCAUCAUCACUGUCCGCUCUGUCAGAAAUUCCAGCAGAUUGUGACGAUACGUUAACCUGAAUGCUUCUGACAUGGUCAUUAUUUUUAUUAUCACUACCAUCAUUGUCUGAAUCAAACCUAAUGUGCUUGCCACAAAACUGUUUACCUAUAGAGGUUGUGAAAUGUUCGUCUUGCUGCAUUCUCGGAGGUCCCUUUGUACAUCUUGAAUCUGCUUUUUGAAUAAUUAACUCUCCAGAUUUCUUCAGAGCAGCAUAUUCUAAAUCCCUAGCAACCCGGAUGGCUGAAAUAUGCAUCCUAUGAUCAUGAAAAUUACUUCAAUCAAUGGCAUUAUAAACUUGCAUAUUGAAAAGAGAGAAACAGCUGCCUAAUAUUCAAAAGGUAACCUAAUGGUAAACUGAUAUUGCUAGCUUUUUGGUCUCAUAAUCACACAUAACCAUGGGUGAAUUCACACCAAAACACAAGUCUGACUACUCAGACACCAAUUAAUACCCAUGGAAGAUUUAAAUUAUCAGUUACUCAGACACCAAUGAAUACCCAAUUAGUACCUAAUGUUUGAAGAUGGUUGUUUGAUUAACUAAUUGUAAAUCAUGCUAUAGUUACAGACUUACAGUACAGACUCAGAACUAAGCCACCAUAAACAAUUUUAGCACUGUAAGAUUACAGUAAUAUCAGUAGUGAGAAAUAAUCAAACAAGAUCCAGAACUCAACCUGUGCAAUGUGCAUCAAUAUAUAAUUAUCCAAUGGAGCUAGUAAAUCAGCUAUCAUGCAUACAAGAAAAUAUUAGUACAAGCAUGAAAAAGUUAUCCUUGGAACUCAACUUGCCUAGUAUAGACAAAAUCUUGACAGCCAAAACAAGGAGUUAGUGCACAAAUGUUAUCUACACUAGUACAUUUCCAAAUCAAAAUUUACACUAAACAACAUGCAUUCUUGUUGUAAAUCAGAAAGAAAAAAGCAUGUGACAUACCCCAAGCUGUGAAUUCGAAUUCCAAGGUCUUCCCUGCUUGCAACUGUGCACUUCUUUGCAACGAAAUCUAUAAAUUCUUCAACCCUUAUAUAUGUAUGUUUACAAGUAUCCAUGAACUCAGAAAGUAAGGAUAUUAUCUCCUCACUCGUUAUCUUAAACACUUCAGUUGCAUCACACUUCACUGAAAAAUAAUGCACAACAAGAUGAUUUCGCAACAAAGGGCCCAAUCCCAGCUCUUUAAACUGUUCAAUACCCUCAUUCUUGCAGAUUGCUACUUCCAGAUCAUACAAUGAAACAAUUCUUCAAACCCCGACAAAACAAUGGAUAAAUGCAUUUAUCUAAAUUCCAACAGAAUAUGAGUAAGUAUUCUUGAGAUUUAAUGCAGAAAGACACAAAUUCAACGGGUAUUUAUCUAAAUUCCAACAGAAUAUGAGCAAGCAUUCUUGAGAUUUAAUGCAGAAAGACAAAAAAUUCAACAGGUAUCUCAUUGUUAACUCAGUUGCUGAAAAUAAAAGAGAAAAUGUGCAAUUGCAUGUUGCUAAAUGCUCAUGGGUUAUAUUAUACAAAUGAAUAUCUUCUCAUAUUCAAAUUGCAAACGUUCUCAAUUUGCAUAAUAAUACUCAAUGCUCCCACUCCAAAUCAGAAAUGAAAAUUUAUCAAGAUUAAUGACCACACGAAAAUCACUAGUGGACUAUAACUUUCUAUAACCAUGUUUCUUUUAAGCCGUUGGUAUACUAAUCCACCCUUAUGCCUUUCUAAAUUUUUCAUCUCAGGCCAGGUAGCAUCUCAUAAACAUCAAUAGUUGCAUUUUCAUCAACUAAGUGUUCAUAUUGCUCUCUCUCUGUAUUCCAUCUAUUCCAAACAGCUGAACUUAGGGUUUAUCUAUCUUCAAUCCCAAAAUUCAAUUCUUUGACCACAAAAAUCACUAAACCAAUUAGAUCAACAACAACAACAACAAAAAAAAUUAAAAUUUGAAAGUUUACCUUGCCUUCAGUGAGCAUGAGGCGGUAAAGAGAAGGCACAUGCUGUGAAUUGAAAACCCCAGAGAGCUCCAGGAAUCAACAUCGGAAUCGCAGACUGGGUGACCUUCCACGCCAAGACGCCUUCCCCGGCGGCAAUUAGGUCGGAGCGAGCCGUCUCCACGGCGCGAUCGACUCUCUCCAGCAGGUUCUGGGGCGAAGGCGGAGACGGAGGCGGAGACGGAGACGAAGGCGGAAGCGGAGGCCGAAACGGAGAACGAAGGCGUAAGCGGAGGUCGGAGACGGAAUACGAAGGCGGAAGCGGAGGCGGAGACGGAGACGAAGGCGGAAGCGGAGACGAAGGCGGAAGCGGAGGCGGAGACGGAGGCGGAGGCGGAGACGAAGGCGGAAGCGGAGGCGGAGACGAAGGCGGAAGCGGAGGCGGAGACGAAGGCGGAAGCGGAGGCGGAGACGAAGGCGGAAGCGGAGGCGGAGACGAAGGCGGAAGCGGAGGCGGAGGAGGCGGCGUAGGAGGAGGCGAAGACGGAAGCGGAGGCGGAGGAUGAAAUUCUGAGAUGGAGAAGUGGUGGUUGGGGGCGAAGCUAGGGUUUCGGAUUGGGAAAUUAUUGGGAGGGCGGUGGUGGGGUGUAAAGGAGGAGAGGCUAGAGAGGUAGGAGUCUAGAUUGAAGGAGCUUUGGAGAAGGAAAUCGGGGUUUAAGGAGCGUGGCUGCGACGGAGGAGGCGGUGGUUGGCCCCAUUGGCCGCCGGACAAGGGGGAAAGAAGCGCGUUCAUAGCGCGUGAGGGAGAAACCACUCACUAUUGGAUGCUUAUGAUUUGAGGCUCGACCAAGAUCUCGAAUUUGAAUUUGAAUGAGAUCGCUGGAGGCAUAGCCGCAUUAGGUUUUUUUUUUUUUUUUUUGGUCGUUCUGCUGGAGGCAUAGCCCGCAUAGGUUACCACACCUAUACAUACAACAUUGAAAUAUACAAGGGUUAAUUCAACCGUUACGAUAUAAGGUUUUUUUUCGAUGAAGUUACGAUAUUAGGUUUGGGUCUACACACAGACCAAUGAUUUUCAAAUUUCAAAUUGAUCAUAUACUUUAAAUGCGAUCAACAUAUACAUAUAUACAGCCCUUCUCGGCUGCGAACGUCCACACCAACGGUUUUGGUGCGGAUUUCUAUUUUUACAACACUUUCCGAUCAAAUUUUCUCAUCUCCACCGUCUAGUAUCUAGAUAAUAUUGUGUAGAUCAUCUCUGCAAAAUUUCAGCCAAUUUGGUGAUCGUUAAGGCCCUCAAACUUGAGUUUUUGUGGUAUGAACACAACCGGACAAAAUUCAGUCCGUCCAUUUGUUUUAAAGUUUNNNNNNNNNNNNNNNNNNNNNNNNNNNNNNNNNNNNNNNNNNNNNNNNNNNNNNNNNNNNNNNNNNNNNNNNNNNNNNNNNNNNNNNNNNNNNNNNNNNNNNNNNNNNNNNNNNNNNNNNNNNNNNNNNNNNNNNNNNNNNNNNNNNNNNNNNNNNNNNNNNNNNNNNNNNNNNNNNNNNNNNNNNNNNNNNNNNNNNNNNNNNNNNNNNNNNNNNNNNNNNNNNNNNNNNNNNNNNNNNNNNNNNNNNNNNNNNNNNNNNNNNNNNNNNNNNNNNNNNNNNNNNNNNNNNNNNNNNNNNNNNNNNNNNNNNNNNNNNNNNNNNNNNNNNNNNNNNNNNNNNNNNNNNNNNNNNNNNNNNNNNNNNNNNNNNNNNNNNNNNNNNNNAUGGUUUUGGUGCGGAUUUCCAUUUUUGCACCACUUUUUUGAUCGAAUUUCCUCAUCUCUACCGUCUAGUAUCUAGAUAAUAUUGUAUAGAUCAUCUCUGCAAAAUUUCAGCCAAUUUGGUAUUCGUUAAGGCCCUCAAAAUUAUGUUUUUCUGGUAUAAACAUGAACCAGACAAAAUUCAGUCCGUCCAUUUGUUUUUCGAGUUUGAGGGCCUUAAUAAUCACCAAAUUGGCUGAAAUUUUGCAGAGAUGAUCUACACAAUAUUAUCUAGAUACUAGACGGUGGAAAUGAAGAAAUUCAAUCGAAAAGUGGUGCAAAAAUGGAAAUCUGCACCAAAACUUUGGUGCGGACGUCCGCAACUGAGAAAAAUCGUAUACAUAUAUACAUAUACUUUAGGUUGAUGUCUUUGAGGAUUUCAUAUGUGAAUAAGAGUUUGGAGAAGAUUUGUUGGUGUGUUCUGGAAUGUACGCAGUACCUUGAGUACUGCGACUGUCUGGAGCACGUGUCAAGCAGCGGUUGGAGAAGGUUUUGUAUCCCAUUUAGCGCGUGAUGUGCAUGACUCUAGGUAAUUCUCCCUCUGUGAUCGACGAUACGGAGGUGGGUAACUUCAUUAAUGAAAGGUGUGUUGAAGAAGAUUUGCAUUGGGUAAUACCCGAUCGGGUAUAUUCUUAAGGCAAAAGCAUAAAUCAUUUGAGAGGUAGAAUCAGAUCUGGAUUCGGGAUUCGGUGGUCUUCUGCUGAACCACAGUGGUAUUAUCACGAACCACCGUUGGACUCCCGAUGAUUUUCAAAACCUUGGGUCAUCGUUGUACUUGAUUCGUACAAAGUUAGUUUGUUGUUAGUAUGAAACUAUAAUUGAAAUUGUGUAUAUCUACUGUGAUUUGCACUAUCGUGAUGUGAAAAAUUAAAGGUCUGUGUGGGCUAGGGUGUUGAUAGCAUGAAGAAACGUAAUCGCCUUGUUGUUCUUUGCAAGAAGGAAUGUAAUUGUUGUUCUUUAUUUUGAAUUGACUUACUACAAAUUUUGGUGCUUUAUGGUUCAACAAGUGAGAAAUGUGGAGCUGAGUGGGUUUUGAUAUUGGGUUUAUUUGUAUCUGUUCGUUUCUGAAUGUGUUCUUCGAUGAAAAUGUGGAAAUGCUAUCUUUCACUGUAUUCAUGUUUUGGCUUUUGCCUGUGUUUCAUAUUACUCUGAUGGUAUCAAAUCGUGCUUCAUGCUUGAAUAAUUUGGCUAUAUAUAAACAACUAGUAAGAAGUUUUUGAAUGUUUUUAACUGCUCAGCUAUUUCACUAUAUCCAUGAAAUUUUACUAACACAUUAACCAUUUUGAUAUCAGGAGCAGAUUUUACUUCUAUAUACUAUUUCUCGUGUCAAAAGCACCUGUCUAAUGAGAGAUCAUAUCAUUGCAUUUGUACAUUGUGAUUAUUAACAAUAAUGAUAAUUUUUCAAUCAAAAAAAAAAAACAAUAAUGAUAAUUUUAAUUUGUAAGGUUUGUUCUUAUUGUAUCUAUGAACUUAGUAUCAGGCUUUUAUGCUGAAAAUAAGACUUCACAAAGGGUGACAUGGUUCCAAUUUUUGACUGAUAUUGCUUUUAUGCACAUGGAACCAGACGUUCAUCAUUCAUAGGUUGGUCUUCGACAAGAUUUUAUUCUUUAGGAUUACAUGCACUUGGGAUUCAAGUCUGUCGAGCUAUUGGGCAAGAGCUGGUAUAGUGUGGCAAAAAUUUAUUUGGGUUCUUUUGUGUUUCUAUAGUGUUAGUGUAAUCAGUGGUAAAGUAGUUGUUACUAUAUUCUUUAUGUAUGUUAGCUUUUGUUAUGAGAGUAGAUUGCUCAUGACUUAUUUUGGUGCAAUAGCUGAAAUACAAUAUUUUGGUGUCAAGGUAGAUGGAUACUUCUUCUAGAAUUUCAAAAACAAGAAGCCGUGAACGUGAGAGACUUCGUGGUCCUCCAUGGUUGAAGGUAUAAAUCCAUCUGUUCUGUUAACAACUCUAACCAAAACUUGAUUUUGUAUUUUAUUUAUUCGUGAAAAGCAAUAAGACUAAGGGUUACUCUAUAGUGUAUUAGCUUAUUCAUAGUGAUCUGGAUUUGAAUGAGACCUUAGAUGUGCAAGUGAUCAGCUACUGUGGUUCUAUUUCAUUGGGCAUAUUUGAAAUGUGAAAUGAGCACUGAUUCAAUUGCCCUUGAUUUCACAUCUCUUGUUAUGUGACAUUAUUUUAUAUUCACAGGCAGUAGAUGGAGCACUACUCAGUGGUACAUACCCAGUCCUAGAUUAUGCGCAGACUGGUUUAAUUGCAGCAGUAUUCAUUUUUAAAGUGAGUAUGGCCAUGUUGUUAUAUUGGAAAGAGAGAGGAAAAAUAGUAUUAAGUUUGUAGGUUGCUCUUACUCUUAAUUUCACAUGUAAUUUGGUAGACACAAAAAUAGAUUGAUAAAAACAAAAAGAUCUUCAAAUCUUUAAUUAGGCAAAUCCUUUCCUCCGUUUUACUGGAGUGGAAAGUUUAAAAAUGCAAAUAUAGAAAAGAAAGUUGAAGGUUCUUGCAUAUUUUCUCAUCUUCACUUGACUAUGAAUAAAGUAUAUGAUCUUCCAUUAUUAAUUUUCACUUGUUUUGUCUGAUGUGAUGUUGCUUUUGGUUCUUCAAUGCUAAUUCAGUAAUUCUUAUUAUCGGUGUGAGUUUUGCAUAUGUUUCAUGUUUAUUGUCAAUGUAUAUUUAUGUUAUAGUUAUUCAAUGGAAUUAUUCCUUCCUCAUUUAUGUUGCUCUGCUAGCUUUAUCACUGGUGGUACUGACUACCACUUCAAGAUUUUCUAAGUACUUCAGCUGUCAACUGCAAUAUUGUUCUUCCUUUACUGCUUCUAUUUUUGGAAAUUUUGAGUCUAGAUAAGGUAUUCUUGAUCCUCUCAUGUGUCUCUAGUUUAGCUGAGCCUUCAAUUUUUUUUAGAGAAAAUUAGAUAAAAACCCAAAAUGCUAGACCUCUUUUAAGAUAAACCCAUAAAUAUUUUUCUUUUAUUUUACACCCACUCCACAUAAGCAAACAUACCAUAUAGAGCAAAUGUCUAUAAUUAAUAGUUUUCUUCAUUUUUUGGUUUCUCUAAUUUGCCCUUCAGACAGUAGAAAGCUAAAUUUGGUAUAUUUCUCAAUUUUAGCAUCAAUUUGAAACUCAAAUACUAGCUAAAAUUUAGUUAGAUUUAACUUCGUCAUAAUCAAUUACAUUCUUUAAUUUCUUACCUUGUUAUUACUAACUUGAGUGUAUAUAUAUAUGCUAUAUACAGAAGUAUGUCAUUUGUAAUAGGAAGAUACUUUUCAUUCUUAAGCUCACAUUUGAUGUCUCUCUACAUAGUCGAAAAAUGUCUAACUGUAAGAUACACAUUCUUGUUAUUUGAUUAAUUUUCUUCUUUUUAGGUGUAUUAUUAUAUCAUUUCUCAUCCUAAUCGAGAGAACAUUUUACUCUCUACUACUUACCUUUCUAAUGUACAUAUUAAAUAGGCCAUGAUACGAUAAUAUACCUAAAACGAAGAAACCCAAAAUUGGAUUUAGGGUAUAGGGUUAAGCUAUAGGGUUUAGGGUAUAGAGUUAGGGUAUAGGUUCAGGGUAUAGGGUAUAGGGUUUAGGGUUUAGGGUAUAAGGUUUAGGGUUUAGGGUAUAGGGUUUAGGGUUUAGGGUAUAGGGUAUAGGGUUUAGGGUAUAUGGUAUAAGGUUUAGAUCAUAUAUCUUAUUCAUAUUAUAUUUUACCUUAUGUAUAGAUUAGAGAAUGAAUUCCUUUAAUCUAUAUAUUUUCAUAAAAAUAAAGAAAACUACAUGAUUCUUGCAAAUUGAUUGAAAAAUGUUAGUGUUAAAAGAAAAACUGAUAAUCAAGGUAUUUAAGACAACAUCAAUUAAGCUUAUUUAUUAUAUUGAUAUGUUAUAGUUGAAUGAUGGCAAUUGUGUAAAAUUUAGAAAAAAUAAGACAUAAUAUUUAUCAUAAUUGAUAUAUUUUAGAUGUCUAUCAGAUAGGAAUAUGAUAUGGGUUUUAUUUAAAACUACUCUUUAAAAUUGGGUGUAUAUGAAAAUUCCCCUUUUUUUUAACAGGCAGCAUAGGGAUAUUUUGUUACUGCCAUUCAAAAAAAAUGUUGCUCAAAUUGACAAGUGAGUCUUGAGGGUGAUGCAAUUUUUAAUUAUCUUAUAAAAUUCACAGUUGUACUGUGUGCCAUCAUUAGCGGAAAAUAUGCUAUCAUGAUAUGCUUACUACUUUGUUGUGAUUUCAGAGGACAUGGGAAAAUGAAACUGUAUGUACAGCAGUCAAGCUCAAUGUACAUGUUUUCGUUAAUACAUUUCCAUAGUCAAAAUGAUAGGCUAAUUACUUAUUAUUAUUAUUAUUAUUAUUAUUAUUAUUGUACCAGUUGUGGCUACUUAUGAUAAGAAAAUAGCAGCAUGUUGUUCAGAUUUUGGAUCUAUGGUUACCUCAUAGUUGUAUGGACUGUUUAUCUGUUUGAGCCUUACAUACAUUGCGAAUACAGCCAGGAGCCUAGUGGCUGCUUCAGUACAUGCAAUAAUUAUGUAAACUAUCAUCUGUGAUCAUAUACUUGUCCCAAGUUCAAAGUAAGGUUUUUCUGGGUUUGUGUCGUUUAUACAGUCUGUGUUGAGUUGAAUGUAAAGUUUUAGUCUUUGUUUUGUUGAAGUUUUAGUCAUUGUUCAGUUUGACGUGUCUAGAGCAUUUGGGAUUUUAGUAAAACAAAGUAGUUGUUGUUCAAUUUGGACUUGGAAAGGUUCUGGCUUUCGAUUUUAGUGUCUUAUUUGGAUUUUGUAUUGGUUGUGUAGGCAGUGGCUCCAACAGUGAAGACUUGGAAAGGUUUUGACCGCUGUUAUUGGGGACCAAACGUUACCGAAAUUAUGUAAUUUUUCAACCAUAGUUGUAUUUCACCAUACCGAUCCCAACCUAUUUCACAAAGAUUUUUGAAAAUUUGGCUCCCUUUGUAUAGUUGGUUCACAAUGAUGUGCACUUGCAUAUAUCUACUAAAAAAGUUAUAUCACAUUAGUAGGCACGUUGUGAUUCCAAGGACUAAAUUCACAAAAUGAAAAUCCGACCGUCUGAUAUGAUCAAUAUAGCGAAACAUAUCUAUGGUAAAAAAUUCAACUGGAUUCGGCAACAUUUGAGACUCGAUUGAAACGGUCAACCCUAAUCCAUCGUGACUUAACACAUAGAAACGCUCUUACCUAGCUCUCUGUGACUUAGUUUGGUCGAUUCUUUCACACAUUAAACUCUCACAAAAAUGAGAUCUAACCACCUAUGUAAAAAUUUGAAAACGUUUACCUCCUAAAGAUAGGGAUCCUCAUAGGGAAGAUUAAACAUAAAUAGGUUUGACCGCUGCUAUCAGGGACCAAACGUUACUGGAAUUAUGUAAUUUUUCAACCAUAGCCGUAUUUCACCAUACCAAUCCCGGCCUAUUUCAUAAGAUUUUUGACCAUAGCGGUAUAACUUGUUUAUGUAAGUCUACAUCAUUGUGAACCAACUAUACAGAAAAAGCAAAAUAUUUGAAAAUCUUGUGAAAUAGGAUGUGAUAGGUAUAGUGAAAUACGUCAAAGGUUGAAAAAUCACAACCUUCCUGUAAUGUUUGGGCCUCGAUAAGUGUGGUCAACUUUAAUUACGCUUAAGUGCACCUAUGAGGAGCCUAACCACCGGUAGGUCAAUUUAACAAAAAAAAUUCAUAGGUUCGUAAAUCUCAUAUAUACGAGUUUUAAGUUCAAAAAGGGGGAAAAAUAGAGUUCCGCACGAUAUCGGUCAACCGUGUUUCGUGUAAAAAAUGAGAUUGAAUUAAGGUUAAACGAUUUGAUGGGGGGUGUAACAAAUCUGAAACGGUUGGAUUUUUCUCAGUAGACAUAUUUAAUUACCAUGACCACAUCAGAAGGUGAAAUUUUUAUUUUCACAUAUUUAUUUCAAUUAAAUCCUAGUAUGUCUACUUAUGUUUAACUUUGUUACUUUGUUAUGUGGACAACAACACAUUAUACAACAACAACGUGGAGGAAACAAAAUUUUGAAAAAUCGUCCAUAAGAUGUGAUAAGUAUAGUGAAAUACGGCUGUGAUAGAAAAAUCACAUAUUUUCGAUAACGUUUGACUCCGAUCAUAGCGGUCAACCCUAUUUAUGCUUAAUCUUCCCUAUGGGGAGGCCUAUCGUCGGGAGGUUAAAUUCCCCAAAAUUUUAGAUAUGCUGCUACAUCUCAUCUACAUGAGAGUGUGUGUGCAAAAUAAUCGACAAAAAUAAGUCAAGAGGGGUGGGUAAUAAAGUUUUCGUGUAAUAAGUAACAUCAGUUUAUGGUUGAUCGAGACAAACAUUAUCGAAAAUUGGUGAAUUUUUGUCUAUAGCCGUAUUUAAAUACACUGAUCACAUCGGACGGUCAAGAUUUAAUUUUUAAUUUUAUUUUGGUCAUUGGAACCACAACGUGUCUACUAAAGUGGUAUAACUUGUAUAGUAGGUUUUAUGCGAGUGUACAUCUUUGUGAAACAACUAUAUCUUGUAAACAGAAUUUUGAAAAAUCUUCUAUUGGAUGUGAUAGGUAUAGUGAAAUACAGCUAUGGUAGAAAAAUUACAUAUUUUCGAUAACGUUUCGACUCCGAUCAAGGUGGUCAACCCUAUUUACGCUUAAUCUUCCCUAUGGGGAGCCCUAUCGUCGGAAGGUUAAAUUUCCCAAAUUUUAAAUAGGCUGUUAUAUCUCAUCUACGUGAGAGUGUGUGUGCGAAAGAAUCGACAAAAAUAAGUCAAGAAGGGGUGUGUAAUAGCGUUUUCGUGUAAUAAGUGACGUGUGUUUAAGGUUGACCGAGUGAACUGAGACUGAAACGUUAUCGAAAAUUGGUGAAUUUUUGUCUAUAGCUGUAUUUAAAUACAUUGAUCACAUUAGACAGUCAAGAUUUAAUUUUUUUUUAUUUUAGUCAUUGGAACCACAACGUGUCUACUAAAGUAGUAUAACAUGUAUAAUAGGUUUUAUGCAAGUGUACACCUUUAUGAAGCAGCUAUAUCUUGCAAACAAAAUUUUAAAAAAUCGUCUAUAGGAUGUGAUAGGUAUAGUGAAAUACGGCUAUGGUAGAAAAAUUACACAUUUUCGAUAAUGUUUUGACUCCGAUCAAGGCGGUCAACCCUAUUUAUGCUUGAUCUUCCUUAUGAAGAGCCCUAUCGUCGGGAGGUUACAUUCUCCAAAUUUCUAGAUAGGAAGCUACAUCUCAUCUACGUGAGAGUGUGUGUACGAAAAAAUCGACCAAAAUAAGUCAAGAAGGGGUGGGUAAUAGCGUUUUCGUGUAACAAGUGAUGUUGGUUAAAGGUUGACCGAGUGGAUCCAGACUCAAAACAUUAUCGAAAAUUGGUGAAUAAGUCACAUCUCAUCUACAUGACAGAGUGUGUGAAACAAACGAGAUAAAUAAGUCACAAAAGAGUGUAGGUAAUAUAUUUAGAGUGUGAUAAGUGACGUUGAUUUGGGGUUGACCAAAUUUUCAGGUGAGCUGUUACAUCGCAUCUAAGUGAGUGUGUAAUCACAUUUUCUAAUUCACAGAGGAGAUGAGAUAAUGAUCUGGGCACUGGUUGUUAGGUGAUUCAAGUGAUAUAUUAAUGGUGUCUAUAGUAAACUCAUUGGUGUCUAUAGUUUGAGACAUGCACAUAUAUCUUAUCAGUAGUACACAUGGAAUUUCCAAACAGAAAAUUUCAAGUCAAACGGAAUCAUAAAUCCUAAUAAAAUGCAAAUGGAAACAGCUGCAAUGCAUAUAACACGAGUUUCAGCACAGAACUCUGAACUUAAGAAAAUCACUAUCUAAAUAUCAAAUAACACAAAAUUUCCAGUUAACAAUACACACCUGGAAGUAUAACGCCACAAAAUUUCAGAUCAAUAGGAGUUACCAAGUCCUGCUGAAAUUCAACACAACACAGCUGCCCCCAGCUAUAUGAAAAUUACAUCAACCACCCAUAUUUUACAGAAUUUUACAGUAAAUAAAGGUUCAGGUAUCUUUAGCCAAAUCACAGAUUUUAGGAAGACAUAAUGAAUUUGACACUAAUCCUUUCUCCCAAAAGAACAAUAUUGCCUUGCAUGUCAUUUUUGCUUAACACUGUAAAUGUUUAUGGUGCACUGCUUCGUCUGUGGUCAAGAUUGCAUGACAACUAUAUCAACUGGUGUUCAUCAAAAAUAGGUUCUACUAAACUAAAUUACAGUCUCUUCCAUCGGAGUCCAAGUCAAACUCAGAGCUAGAUGCUUCACUAGACUCGUGCUUAACCCUCUCUCACAGCCACAAAGCUUAUCGUCGCUACUCGCUCGACCCAGAAACGAUGGGGCGAAGGCGACUGAAUGAGUGGGAAUCGGUUAUUACUGUCAAACCCAUUGCUAUAGGGUUGCACCAUAUAAAUCACUAAUAGCCGAUCAUGUAUAUUUGUGAGGCAAAAACAUAAAGAUCUGGAAAGUUAGGAAAUAUGGAAAUUUGAGAGGUAGAAUACAUAUAUGAAGAUCAGGGAUAGGGUUUAGCAGGGAGGAACGACAGUCUUCUGCUGGGAUGACGACAGAGGUGUAGUUGUGGAUUUUCAGGAGACACCAUUGGAUUCAACCCCAGAAAACGAAGAUCGAUAAGAGAUAUGGUGGAGAUAUACCCAGACCGAAACACCAGUUUCUCGUAGUUCCUCACUACCCCUGACGAUUAAAACUCAAUAAACCUGCUCUCUUGUCCACGCGAGACGCGCCAACCGCGCGUGCUUCAUAUCAAAAGUAAAAAAUUGUAAUUUCACCGCUUGACAAAGUCCAAAAACAACCACAGUACUCGGAGUACUACAUACACAACAGACGUUCCAAAGACAACCACAAUACUCGGAGUACUACGUACUCAGAUUUGUUUUGUUAAUAUCUCACAAAUGUCAGCCCUUUUGUGACGUUUUAUGUUGGUUUGUGACAUUUUAAAUUCAAAAAUGUAAUUUAGGUUUUGCGGUGUUGGUUUGUUUUUUUUUUUUUUCGAUAAACGCUAUGUUUCUUUUGUUUCGAAAUUUACAUUCUCUAAAUUACAUUCCACACUCUAAGCACCUAAUUUUAAUAUAUUUUAUGUUGAUUACUAAUUCAUUUGCAGUUUUGCCUUCAUCUCAUCAAAAGAGAAGUCAUUCGCCGUCCAUCUUCUCUAAUGCCAACAGUUUCCUCCAUUUUUGAAGAAAAUAUGAUGUCUAGAAUAUCAAUCUACAGCCCUUUUUAAAUCUUGAAAAAAUAAACCCAAAACCUUAAAUCAAUACAAGAUCUCAUAUAUGACUUAAACCAUGGAGAAUGCUUGAAAAUCCAUCAGAGGCAAGGCGCUGAGCAACAAGCUGGCGACCAAGAAGUCAGCUCCAACGACUGGAGGAAUGAAGAAGCCCCACUGCUUCAGGCCAAAAGUCAGCUUCACUUCCUUCUUCUAUAUGCAAACUGAAGUCUCUAAAAUUCGUCGUUAGAGAUCUGUAGUUUUGGGUCUGUUGCCAAGAGCAACAUCCAUGAGCCAAAACAAUCUAGCUCUUAACCUAAUUUUACGCUCGAAACCACGAGCUACCCAGCUCUGGAAUUGAUAAAACUGUUGAAAAAUGAAAGUCUAGGGAUAGUUAAAUUUAAAGUUUAGUGUUUAGUUUUGUAUCAUUUGUAUAGGUUCAAGUUAUGUUCCUAAAAAUGACAAAGAAAAGUCUCUCUCUCUCUCUAGGGUUCUCAUUAGGGGUUUAGAAACUUUUGGCAAACACAUCUCUCGACAAUGAUGGUUGACAAAGUUUCCCGACUUGCGGCUGAGAUGGCGAACUCAGAGAAUGGGAAGGUUUCGUUUGGGGCGGCGGGGGCAACGGCUUUUUUAGGCCAUUCAUAUGCAGUAAGGCGGCUCCUCUCUCCAAAGAAGAAGGUGGAGCCUAGGGCUUUCAUGGCCACAACGGGAUACAUCUGGGGUCUGAGAAACCGGCUCACUAUCGGACCACAAGGUGAGCGGUAUAUCCUCCGGUUCAUGGAGGAGGCAAAUCGAAAGGACAUGAUCAAGAGCAGGUCAUAGUUCUAUAGGAAAACGAUUUUUGCGUUGGCGGAAUAUGAUGGUCGUUCUGAUGCGGCGACAGUCCCAAUCAUCUCUAUUCCGAUGUGGGUUAAAGUUUUUGGACUCCCACAAGAUCUAAUGACUAAGAAGGCGCUCUAUAUGGUGUGUUCAACGCUUGGACGAAUUAUCACUCAUGAUAACCCCAAGCUGCUUAAUGGUUCCAGGGCUAGGGCUCGGAUCAACCAUCAGAUUUUCUGUCCGGUGAAGCAGGCGUUCCCUCCCAUGUGUUUUGAGUUUGGCGAAGGUGCUUAUCUGACAGUUACAAUGCUCACAUUCAAAUAUGAGCGUAUGUGUGGCUUUUGCAGAGUUUGCGGUUUACUAGAACACAAGGCCGAAAUCUGUCAAGGUCCACCUAACAUGUCGGCGACGGUGGGGGAACCAGGGACUAGAAUUAGGGUUAACCCUAACUCUAACCCUAGCAGCAGCUUAUCUAUUGCUAACCCGUUUCCAACUUCGGGUUUUGUCUUGUCCAAGCCGGGUAUGACGGCGGCAACGCUGACUGCUUCCUUCUAGCGUUUACCUAAACCGAUGUCAAUUGCCACUCCCCACGCUCAGACGUUGGUUUCUCAAACCAAGACUCUGACACUUGCAUUAGCUAGGAAGAAACAGUCUGCAACAUCCUUUAUGCUUGAGGAUUAUGGCAAGCAUCAGAAAGGUACGGCUGCAUUGGGGCGACUGAGCAUUCUAAGCUCGGUCCAAUCCUAGAGCUUUCCCUCCCUCACUUGGCAGGAUCUCUGAUCGUAUCACCCCUGAAGAAAUGUAAAGUCGGGCAUCCGAAAGGUUCAUUGAACAAAAAGCGGGAGGAGGCAAUCAAUCCUUAGCAGUUGGACACGAAGGCACAUACCAAGAGCUCAAAGUCCACGAAGAGGUCCUUUGGUUCUGCAAAAAGGACUUUGAACAUGGGAGAGGAGGACUCGGUUAGCACUAUACUAGAGGACUCGGUUGGUACUACACCGGAGGAUAUGGCGAUGGAGGCGGUUGAAGACACCAGAGCUACUCCCUUUAUGUAAGGUAGUCCCGGUUCCUUGGAAUAAAAGGUUAGGGUUGGAGGUUCCAACUCUUUCUGUCAUUUGUUAGUUGCUCAGGUUUUCUGGUUCUUAGUUUUUGAGUACUUUCAUGGUAGUUUCGGUAGGAUGCUCUAAAGCACCCUUCCAUGACAUUCAUUCUCGUGCCCUUGCGGGCAUGUCAUGUUGUAAUUCUCAUUUCUUUUUUGUUUAUUAAAGUCUUGACGUCUAUUCCAUCAAAAAAUAAUAAUGUUUCUAAAAAUGACAACUAUACUUUUUCACACCAUAUUUUUUUAUGGGUACUGAAAUCUACACACCAAUAUUUGAAAUCCACAUACCCAUUCAAUUUUUUUUAUAAUAUUUUCUCUCUUCUCAUUGUUUACUUCCAGAAAUACCAUUCAGUUAAAUCUACUUUUAUUUUUAUAUGCUCUCCCUCAUGACCACAUAACAUACUAUUCCUCUUCAUCUUUUCUCAGUCUCUUCUCAUUGCCUUUUUUCUUUUCUUUUUUUUCUUUUUUUUUUUCGAAAUUCUGUGACAUUCAUUCUUUUUUCUCACACCUUAUUCUUGUAGAUAAGAAUCAAUAUCGAUAUGAUUUUCUCUUGUGACUUGUUGUUUCCUAUCUCAAAACGUGCAACAUUUCUAUGUUAAUAACUCCAAGCAUCUACUCUCAAAGUCUAAAAGAAAAGAAAAAAAAUUGUCUGCAACACUUCAACUUACUUAACUCAAGAGGCAACAAGAGAACACUUAGAAUUCAACUUCAUAUUCAAAAUACAAAAACUUCCAAGAUAAGUAGCCCUGAUUCUCUUUCCAAAGAAUAAAAGGGUGCCCAAAAUAAAAAAAACAAAGCAGCCCUGAUUCAAAACAUAAGGUGCAACAAGCCUUCAAUGCAAUACUUAUGACUCCUUAACUAGUGCGGUCAAAUCUAGUUUAUAAAAACCAAAACAAAACUCAUAUUUUAGUACAAUAAGCAAAAUACAUUAGAGAAGACUACAAAAACCAACAUAAACCAUGUCGCUAUUUAGUUUCACAUAACAAAAUGAAGGGAACAUGAUCACUUUUUUUUCAUUAUACCGUAAACAACACACAUUAUUUAGUAUCAGUUGCUACUCAGUUUUAGAUAACAAAAUGAAGGGAAAAUGACAGCUUUACAAAAUGAGCUUAUACGGAAUAGCUAGUUGUCGACUUGUCGUCUCUUGCAACUCUGACAUUUUAAUUUUAGAGUACUCAGAAGAAAAUAAAAGGAUGCAUACCUGACAUUCCAUCAAACAUGAACAAAACAGAGUUACUUGUAUUUGCAACUAAGCAGCAGGGGCUCUUCUUCAAUUGCUAAGAGGAAAGGUAAAGAAGAUGGUUUAGUGUACUUGUAACUGAUCUGAGUACAAAAUUAAAUUUAAAACGGAGAAACUAACAUAGAAAAGAGAUCAGACAAUGAAAAAUUAGGGCAAAUGGAGUAUAAGCGGGCAAACAAUGGGAAAACAUAAAGGUUAGCAAUCAAAUAGGUUAGCAAUCAAAUUUCAAUCCAGGUCAAACAUUACUUUUCAAAAUCAUCAUAAACGAGUCAAAUGACAAAGCCCAUAACACUUUAAGGAGAAAUUUUUCAGUGCUACGAGAGGACCACGUGGCAGUCUGACGUGGUCCUACUUUCUAAUCAAAUUUAGACAUGUAGAUUUUCUUCACGAAAAAUUAUUUCAGCUAUUUUGUCAAAGACCAUUUUAGGUUUUCUGUUGUUUUUUAAUACUAAACCCUAAGCCCUAAACCCCAAACCCUAAACCCUAUACCCUAAACCCUAACCAUAAACUUUAAACCCUAUACCCUAGAACCUAGUUUGAACUUGCUAAAUACCCAUGAAUGUCAUUUCACAAAAAAUAGAAAAUAUUUGUUUAUAUUUUAGUUGUAAAAAAUCCACAUGUCUAAAUUUGAUUGGAACGUAGGACCACGUCAGACUGCCACGUGGUUCUCUCGUAGCAUUUAAAAAUUUCUCCACUUUAAGAGAUACAAACCAUAUAUUUUGACAAAAACUUGAAAUUAAUUGAUCAAAAUUGAACCUUUCGAUUAAAUCAAGGUAGGACAAGUACCUUAUAUAUGUUUGUGUAUGUUGAAAUUGGAGGUUCUUCUCUUUGGGAAAUUCCCCAUGUCGACCCAUGGUCUCGAUGUUCAAAACUCAGAACUUGAAAUGGCAAAGAAAAGGCUGAAGAAACAUCCUCGAAUUUGAUAUAGGAUCAGGUGACUUCAACAAAUCCUUCCAUCAAUUCCUUUGGGUUCGGCCUCAAUGUAUUCUACUAGUAGCAGUCUUGAAUCUUGAUGGAGUGUAGGCUCUAUAUCUAUGGGUGAACCAGAAAGUUUUUAGCGGAUAAGAUGAAUCGAGAGAGUGAGAAAAGAGCGAGACAGGGAGAGAACAAUUAUAAUAAGAAAAGUAGAUUUAACUGAAGGGCAUUUCCGGAAGUAAACAAUGAGGAGAGAGAAAGUAUUAUUAAAAAAUUAAAUAGGUGUGUGGAUUUCAAAUCUUGGUGUGUAGAUUUCAAUUCUCUUUUUAUUUAGUGGCAUGUCUUUUCAUUCUAUGUGAAACAAUACGAAUUUGAUUCAUGAAAUACUAGUUGUCUUAAUAAGAGUAAAAAAAAAUAUAUAAAAACUACACUUUUCACCAUGUUCACCUAUUGUGAAACCUAACCAACAGAAACAUUGUUCCAAAAUUGUGUAACAAUUGAACAUGGUGUAUAAAGAAUCAAAAAUCACUCUACAUUCAUUAAUAAGAUUGGUACUAGAAUUAGGACCCGCGCUUUUCCGCGGUGUACGUUCGUAAUUGAAGCUGAAGAAUUAGAGAAAAAGAUUACUUGAUUAAUGCAACCGUCUUUACACAUACAUCAUACAACAUCAAAUUCCAUCAACGAUACACAUUGCACAUUCAUAUACAUAUCACAGUGAAAGUCGGGCUAUUACAAAAACAACACUUUGUGUUGUGUCAUGUCCAAAAUAAUAAAUGCUCCAAUUGUUUUGGUUCGUAAGUUCAUAAAGCAGAGUCUGGAGUAGUAUAAAAGUUGAGGCAAAAAUCAUUUUCUUAAGUGUAUGCAGUUACGAUUUCCACGUUGCAUAUCUGUGAAAUGUACCACAAUAUAAGAAUCAAUCAUAGUACAAAAGGUAAUAAACAUGAAACUGAAAAUGAAAUAAUUAGAAUACAACUGAGAAGAACAUUGAGGACAUUAGGUAAAGAUUCAAGGCGAAAGAAUAUAACAUUGGCAAUUGUAGACAGUUGAGUUACUAACAGUCUAGCUAGUGCACAAUCUCAAAAACACAACGCCAAUUGUUUCCUCGAGACUAAGAGCAUCUCCAACAGCUUCCCCAUUUUCUUGAUUUUAUCAAUUUUGGGGAAUAUUAGGUUGUUUUGUGGUCCAACAGCAUUCCCUAAAAUGGGGAUGGAGAAGAAAAAAAAGCACUAUUUUCCCAAAUCUGCAGCAAAGUCUUUCUUCCCCAAAUAUUAAUUUUUCAUGUGCUCCAACGAUAAGAACAAAAAUCUAGAAUAUUUUAUUGAGUAAUUUAUGUUACAAUGAAAUAUAUAAUUUUUUUUGUUAUUAUGAAUAAUCAUAUAGCAUUUUUUAUUGUUGUAAUAAAUGCUGAAAUCUCCAAAAUAGAGAAGCUGUUGGAGUUGGAGCAUAAUUUUUUUUGGAUUUUUGGAGAUUUUGGCUUUUGCUUCAUUAUUUUAGAGAAAUUUUGGGGAAAUUGUUGGAGAUGCUCUAACACUAGCUACCAACUAAAUUUGAAACAUAAUUGAACCAAAAGUUUAGGAAAAAUUUCUCUUUCACAUACCAAAUGAAAUCAGUUUUACAUUCACAUAUCAAUAAGUAGAAACCACUGAAAAAUUAAAUGGAAUAUUAGUAUGAAUGUCUCAGCAUAUCAAGAGGUACUAUCAAAUCCCAGAUGGACUAAAAGCCAUCUAAAAUUGCAAGUUCUUAAUCCUUCAACAGUUCAACUGAGUUAGACUUCUCUCAACAUUAAUUUGAUGUUGUCAAGUCUACUGUAAGGAUUAGUAUAACUUAUGUAAGAGAAAGGAAAAAAAAAAGGACAGUUUGUCCAUGCCUUUAGGUUUCAAAAGAAAAUAAAAAAGCUAUGAUUCUGUUACCAACCAAAGGCUAACAGUUUCAAGUUUUAUCAUUCCAAGAUAAUUUAAAUUUCCUGCAGUCCGAGACUAUCUAUGAAAUUAGAAACUUAAUCAGAAAUCCUCCAAUUUCAAGCACAGUUCCUUUUCCCUCGUCACAAAAUGUAUCACACUCCAAAAAAGUAAUCAAAAACUUAAAUGUCCUUUGUCGAAAGUAGCAAUCAAAGAAGAAAAGAUUAACAGAAGGACAUACUGACGAAAAUCAAACAACCGCAAAACUGAGAUCCCCUUUUCAAUCAGAGUAAAGUAAAAAAAACUGACAUCCAACAUCUUAAAAAAAGCUUGAUUAUGAUUUCAUUUUAAACAUACAAAGGAGCUGUAAUAUACCUGAAUUCAAAGGAACAACAAACUGGUACCCAAAUCUGAGAAAAAAAAACAUUUACAUAACUGAGCAUAGAUACAAUUAUAUGAAUUCCAUUCAAAAUUUGCUUAAACAUGUUACUGAAGUGGUGGUUUCACAUAAGUAAAAACCAAGAAAAUAAUUAGAAAGGAAUGCAUACUUGCAAGAGAAGAGGAAACCAAAAUAAUGUAGAAUGCCAAGAGCUAACUGUUCUCUAUAUUAGCCACUGAAUGUGACAAUAGAAUAUUGUCCAAAUCUGCAAAAGAAAAAAGAACAAACCGUUAUACAACUGGCCAUAAAUACAACUAUACAAUUGCUUUCCAAAUAUAAAACGAAUGCAUACUUGCACGAAAAGGGGAAAUCAAUAUAAUGUAGAAAGCUAAAAUGACAAACAGCCAGAGAACAACAAAAUUCCAAACCAAGGGCAAACAUGAUUUAGUAAAUAUUCACUUGCAUGUUUCGUACAUGGAUAGCAGAUAAAGCAUUACUGUUGGACUUAUCUCAUGAAAAUAUGAACUGAUGCAAAAAGAGGAGAGCUGAAAGAGAAUUUGUGUAUUAACACCGCACUUUAUUUCCAAACAAAAAGAACGCUUCUUUAAGCUUGGAAAUCCGACUUAAAACGAAAUGAAUAAAGGAAAAGAUAGGUAACAUGAAGCCAAAGCUUGUAAUUGGGAAAUAUACAAAAUUUAAGGAUCCACAACACCAAUAUUUGCAGUGCUAACCUGAAAAUUAAACCUUGUAGAUUAAUAGACUGAGAUUAAUCCUUUAUGAUUACUAAAGGGAAAAAACCAACAGCCAUUUUAGAUGAGCAAAUCAGAAUUCGAUAUAGAAUACAUAUAUUUUGAACAUCUAAUUUAGAAUCACUUUACAAUCAAAAUGAACACUUGAUUCAUUAACAUGUAUGAUGUAUUACCAAAAAGUAACCUCGAGUUCUUAACACCGUAUACCUAAUUUUAUAUCUGCAUUUACAAAACCAACAAAAGAUUCAAAUUGAAAACUUACAAAUAAAAUUGACAAAAGGCAUCAAACAUCAUUUACCCUAUAAACCAAAUACUAUAUGAGAACUCACUGACUCUGCAAACAUUGACAUUAUCAAUGCCAAAAGAAAAAGGUCAGCUAUCAAUAAUCAUUGGAAUUCAUACCUGAGUCCAAAAGAGUAACAAAAUUUGACACUACACUGUUCACAAACCCUGCAAAACAAAAUGGAAGUGCUCAGCCUUUAUACACAAAUCAACCUUUCUGCUACAACUCCAAUCUCAUUAAUACGUAAAGCAAAUAAAACCCAAUUAUGAUUGAUAGGUUAUGCAGGAAUGCAAGCAAGGAAUAGAUUGAAAACCAAUUACCCAUAGUAAGAAGAAGCAAUACCUUUCCUGGACUUGAUAGAAGACUCCUUUCUAAGAACAACAGUCGAUAAUAGAAUCUGAAGACAUCAAAAACCAAAAACCAAUUUUCUCAAAGUCAAAAGCAAUGAAUCAAGCAUAACAAUUUUGUUACUUGAGUAACAUCUACUAAAAUCAAAUUCAAAUUUAGUAUUUGCAUGCUAGAGAGAAGGAGAUAGGAACUCACACGAAGCCAUUGGUUUGGAAUAGCAAAUCACACAGUGAAAAUUAAAGAGGUAAAGCUGAGGACAUAUCCAGAAGUAGUUACAAAAGAAGAAUGAGAUUAAGGAAUGAUAAUAAGGAUGAUUCUAAUUCAAAAACAAAAGGGGAUAGUGGAUGGGUGGUCGUGAGACCAGAUCUGGGGUGAGGAGAAAGAAAGGGGAGGCGGUGAGGAGGGAGAGGGAGCCGGAGGUAAGAGAAGUGGCGGCUGAAGGAAGGAGGACGUCGACAAUAGAUCCAAGCAAGUUCCGUCAUCAUCAGCAGAUUCCGAGCUUGAUAAUAAUCCUCCUAACAAACAGAAAUCGAUCACAAAACGAAACCAAAGGCAAAGAGAGGGCAUGGAAGCGGCGAUCUUUUCUGAGAGAGAGAGAGAGAGCAGAUGGAUAAAGGGAGGAAAAAAGGAGAAGAUGUCGAGAUGCUCUGGAACCUUCAGGAGGCAGCUAGCGAGAGAAAGGGUGGCUGGGUUCCAUCACUGGAUAAAAUGAGAAGCGAAAUUUUGAGAUAACUCUGGAACCCAGAGAAAGGAGUCAAAGGACACUGUUCCUAAGAACAGUAACCCUCCGCUGACGUCAUCUCAACAAAUAUAUUUAUGGUAAAUUUACAUUUAUAACAUCAUCAGACCAAGAAAAAAAAAUCAUCUGAGGUCUGAGUAAAAGUACCUGAUAUAUUGAUAAACUGAAGCCACAACAAGUCGGAGAUUACCAAAUCCCAGAUAAACUCAAGCCACAACAAGUCGGAGAUUACCAAAAUCCCAAAUGUAAAGCUUAAUUUCUGCCAUAAUUUUUAUAUCAGUGCACCGGUUUUAGUGGUCAAGUGUAUUGAGUCCAUUUUCAAGUAUGCAGAGAUCAUCACCAUCACGUGAGUUACAGGACACAAUGGUAAAUUCCUUCUGUGGCUCAAGCACCAUGACGACUGACUUCAGCUUGCAAUCCUGGUCCUGUAGCUCCUGGUUGUUAUGCAUCAUCAAUAGUUUCUCCAGAUUGUUGUAUAUUCUCACCGUCGCAGCAUCAUUAUCUGAUAAAAUGACAUGAGCAAUACUGAAAGCUUCACCUUGCUCAACUGCAAAUUGCAACUGUCUCACUGACAUUUCAAACCAGUCUUUGGUUGGAUUUCUGGUUGCUUUAACUUCAAUGAACUCUCUCCUACCUUCAUUGUCUACAAUUAUGUCAUAUGGUAGCCUUGUUUCCCUAUGCUCAUUAACCCACUUCACAGCUGAUUUGCCAGCUUUAUCAAUGAAGUAUUUAAAAGCAGCAAGCUCACCUAGUCUUCCAGUUUCCUUUGCUUGUAUUGCAUCAGGUGUGCAAGUACUAAGACGAUCUCUCUUCCCAAAGUUAGAUGAGCCACACUGAGGAGUACCUGUAAUGGGAAUCAUCUUGUCCAUAUGUCUAACAGAUCUGUUAUAAUUAUCCUCCCUGUUCUUUUGUAAGUCACUUCUAGGAUUUAAAAUUGGCAACUGUGUCCUAAACCCAUUUGCACAAGCAUUAUACCUUGGUGCAGUUCUCCAAUCAACAGGCGGCCAGCUCUCCCCUUUGUUUCUAUCCAAAUUUCUAACAUUAUUAGCUUGCAUGCCAUUCUCUAUUGGCAGUGCAACUUGUUCUACCUUUUCUGUCUUUCGCAAUUUGGGAGGCACAUAGAUUGUAAUUGCAAGAUCUUCGGAUUUUCUUUUCAUUUUAGCCGAGUCAAUAGUCUCUUUGUGCUUCUGGCUGCCACUAUCUGAGGAAAGCUGGUCCAACCCAAGCCGUUGUAUCUCUUCCAUUACAGAUGGGUAAGGACAGCUGCUCACACGGUCAGACCUUCCACCAGAUUGUGACGAGAAGUUAACCAAACUGCAUGUUACCUGGUCACUAUUACAAUCUUCUUCAUCAUGUAAAUCAUCAUCACCACCUUCAUUCUCUGAGUUUUCUGGAGAAUCAAACCUAAUGUGCUUGCCACAAAACUGAUUACGUACGGAGAAAUAAGAUUCAACACGACAAGAAAUGGUACUGGAACCUUUGUCUUGCUGCAUUUUCAACAAGGGAAAUUGACCCUUGGACUGCGAUGGAGAGACAACCAAACCAUCAUCACUAUUCACUCUGUCAGAACUUCCAGCCGUUUGUGACGAUAAGUUAACCUGGCUGAGCUGAC